rnacentral:lncRNA from 1 species
CCCAUGGCAUAUGGAGGUUCACAGGCUCGGGGUCCAAUCAGAGCUGUAGCUGCCAGCCUACACCACAGCCACAACAAAGCAGGAUCUAAGCCACCUCUGCGAACUACACCACAGCUCACAGCAACACCGGAUCCUUAACCCAUUGUGCGAAGCCAAGGAUCGAACUGCAUCCUCCUGGAUACUAGUCAGGUUUGUUAGCCACUGAGCCAUGACAGGAACUCUUUAUUUAAUGUUGAUUGAUCCAAUUUCUUCUUUAGUUUUAAUAUCCAUUUCCCAGGGGUAAUCAUCAAUAUUCAGAGACUGGAGUUACUGUUGUUGUUUGGUGGUAACAAACCCAACUAGUAUCCAUGAGAACCCAGGUUCCACCCUUAGUCCCGCUCAGUGGGUUAAGGAUCUGGCAUUGCUGUGGCAUAGGCCGGCGGCUGCAGCUCCAAUUGGACCCCUAGGCUGGGAACUUCCAUAUGCCCUGGGUGCAGCCCCAAAAUAAAUAAGUAGAUAGAGAGAUUCAGAGACUGAAAAAGUUUCCAAAGUAUGCAUGGAACUGAGAUUUUAACACAUGUCUUUCUUAAGCUAUUAAGAUAAAGAAAACUAUACUGAAGUUUAUACUGUAAUAGAGAAGUUUGAUUCCCCAUAAUGCACAAGUAUUUGCAAAAAUGUAGAAGAAUUUUCCAAACUUUCAAUAAACAGUACGUAGUAAAUUUUAUUCACUAUUAGAAAUUAUUUCUCAUAUUCAUCUCCUGUCCUUAAUUACAUUUUACAGGAUUUAUAGUCUAAUAUUAAAAAUGUCUUGGAGUUCCUGUUGUGGCUCAGUUGGUUAACGAAUCCAACUAGGAAUCAUGAGGUUGCGGGUUCAAUCCCCGGCCUUGCUCAUGGGUUAAGAAUCUGGCAUUACCGUGAGCUGUGGUGUAGGUUGCAGAGGCGGCUUAGAUCCUGCAUUUACUUUGGCUGUGGCACAGGCUGGCAGCUGUGGCUCUGAUAUGACCCCUAGCCUAGGAACUUCCCUAGGCCAUGGGGUGUGGCCCUAAAAAAGACAAAAACAAAUCUCGGUUUAAUCUUUUUUUUUUUUGUCUUUUUUUAGGGCUGCACCUGUGCAUAGGGAAGUUCUCAGGCUAGGGGUCUAAUAGGAGCUACAGCUGCCGGCCAAAGCCACAGCUACAAGCAAUGGGGGAUCUGAGCCACGUCAGUGACCUACACCACAGUUUACGGAAAUGCUGGGUCCCUAACACACUGAGCGAGACCAGGGAUCAAACCCACAUCACUAGUUGGGUCCAUUAACCACUGAGACAUGACAGGAACUCCCAGGGUUUCUUUUAGGGGUAAAAAAAUAAUGUUCAGGAAUUAGAUGAUGAUGGUUGCACAAUGCUCAAAUAUACUUAAUGUACUUAAUGCCACAAACUGUACACUCUUGCGUGAUUAAAAUGCUAAAUUUUGUUAUGUGUAUUUUAUAAUUUAAAAAAGGAAUAUACAAAUAAGGUUAGUCACCUUAGUCUACCCAUUAUGUUUCACUUCCAGUCUAAGAGUAAUCUAUAAAAUCUGUAUUGAAAGUUCAUAGGUGAGCAUGUAUAAGCUAUCUCCAUAUUAUAAAAUAUUAUUUAUAUAAUUUAGCAAAUGUCUUGUGUUACUUUGUUUUAGUCUAAAAUCACGUGAGGGCAGAACCUCGGUAUUUCUGGUUUCAUGAGGCUCAGUACCAAUGAUAACUACAAAUAAUAAACACUAUUCAGAAUUUGUCAGGAAAUAUCAAGCUUUCCAAAACAUUUAAUAAACAAUGGGGUACUGAACAAACUCCAGUCUAUUGUUUUAAAUACAAAGAUAUAAAUGCUUUAAUGCAGGUGAAAAAUUACAAAUUUGGAUAAGGCAGCAAUAUUUGAAAAUUAUCUACAUUUUACCUUAUAUAUAAGUAGUGAU